UAGGGAAUCUUCCGCAAUGGACGCAAGUCUGACGGAGCAACGCCGCGUGAGUGAAGAAGGAUUUCGGUUCGUAAAACUCUGUUGUUAGAGAAGAACAGCGCAUAGAGUAACUGUUAUGCGUGUGACGGUAUCUAACCAGAAAGCCACGGCUAACUACGUGCCAGCAGCCGCGGUAAUACGUAGGUGGCAAGCGUUGUCCGGAUUUAUUGGGCGUAAAGCGAGCGCAGGCGGUCAAUUAAGUCUGAUGUGAAAGCCCCCGGCUCAACCGGGGAGGGUCAUUGGAAACUGGUUGACUUGAGUGCAGAAGAGGAGAGUGGAAUUCCAUGUGUAGCGGUGAAAUGCGUAGAUAUAUGGAGGAACACCAGUGGCGAAGGCGAUUCUCUGGUCUGUAACUGACGCUGAGGCUCGAAAGCGUGGGUAGCAAACAGG
rnacentral:rRNA from 1 species